rnacentral:rRNA from 1 species
GAUAAACGCUGGCGGCGUGCUUAACACAUGCAAGUCGAGCGAAGUUUUUCUUUCGGGCGGAACUUAGUGGCGGACGGGUGAGUAACGCGUGGGUAACCUGCCCUGUACAGGGGGACAACAGCUGGAAACGGCUGCUAAUACCGCAUAAGCCCUUAGCACUGCAUGGUGCAUAGGGAAAAGGAGCAAUCCGGUACAGGAUGGACCCGCGUCUGAUUAGCCAGUUGGCAGGGUAACGGCCUACCAAAGCGACGAUCAGUAGCCGAUCUGAGAGGAUGUACGGCCACAUUGGGACUGAGACACGGCCCAGACUCCUACGGGAGGCAGCAGUGGGGAAUAUUGCACAAUGGAGGAAACUCUGAUGCAGCGACGCCGCGUGAGUGAAGAAGUAUUUCGGUAUGUAAAGCUCUAUCAGCAGGAAAGAAAAUGACGGUACCUGACGAAGAAGCACCGGCUAAAUACGUG